AUGGUUCAAUUGUACGCUGCAGAGCAAGGGGAGCCAAUCAUCACCGAAGUGCCAGUGCCUGCUGAAGUUGAGGCCCUGAUCAGCGAGUUUGGACACCUGUUUGAGGAACCUAAAGGACUACCACCACAGCGCUCUUUCGAUCACACAAUUCCUCUCCUGCCCGGGGCGAAACCUGUCAACGUGCGCCCAUAUCGAUACAGCCCGGCCCAGAAGGAUGAGAUUGAGAAACAGGUUGCAGACAUGCUUGCCCAGGUAUCAUCAAGCAGCAUGGACGGGUAUGGUUAG
rnacentral:rRNA from 1 species